CUACGGGCCGCUGCAGUGGGGAAUUUUGGACAAUGGGGGCAACCCUGAUCCAGCCAUGCCGCGUGAGUGAAGAAGGCCUUCGGGUUGUAAAGCUCUUUCAGCCGGGAAGAAAUCGCAUGGGUUAAUACCCUGUGCGGAUGACGGUACCGGAAUAAGAAGCACCGGCUAACUACGUGCCAGCAGCCGCGGUAAUACGUAGGGUGCGAGCGUUAAUCGGAAUUACUGGGCGUAAAGCGUGCGCAGGCGGAUGCUUAAGUCAGAUGUGAAAUCCCCGGGCUUAACCUGGGAAUUGCAUUUGAAACUGGGUGUCUAGAGUGCGUCAGAGGGGGGUGGAAUUCCACGUGUAGCAGUGAAAUGCGUAGAUAUGUGGAGGAACACCAAUGGCGAAGGCAGCCCCCUGGGAUGACACUGACGCUCAUGCACGAAAGCGUGGGGAGCAAACAGGAUUAGAUACCCCCGAGUC
rnacentral:rRNA from 1 species